rnacentral:lncRNA from 1 species
GCCACUUGGACUUGGAACCCAGGAAGGUGUGCCAGUGGGCUGGAGCAGAUUGAAGACUAAAGUGGCCUUGUUCUUGGCUGAGACAUGAGAGAGGUUUAUCAGCGACAUGAAGGUCUCCUGUGUAUAAAAACACAGAUUCAGGAUUUCAUGUGGAGUGCCUUCAGGGCCCAAGAGCAAGACUGA